AAUCGUACAUACAGAACAUAUCUUACAAUAUAAAGUUAACAAACUUUUACCACACUAUGCAAUUUGAUUAAGAAAAAAAAAAAAAAAAAAUGUUAAUCAAGUACUUUUCGAAUAUACUUAGAACCCCAAAGCCAAUAAUCAAAACUAGCCUAAGAAACUAUUUUUCUGAUUCUGGGAAGAUAGUGAUCCCUCGUCAUGGGACUACAAUAUUGUGUGUGCGCAAAAAUAAUGAAGUGUGUUUAAUUGGAGAUGGUAUGGUUUCCCAGGGCACAAUGAUAGUUAAAGGGAAUGCUAAAAAAAUUAGAAGAUUAAAGGAUAAUAUUUUAAUGGGUUUUGCUGGAGCAACUGCUGAUUGUUUUACCCUAUUAGACAAAUUUGAAACUAAAAUUGAAGAAUAUCCAAACCAACUUAUGAGGUGUUGCGUUGAGCUAGCUAAAUUAUGGAGAACAGAUAGAUAUUUAAGACAUUUAGAAGCGGUUCUAAUAGUAGCCGACAAAGAUGUUUUAUUAGAAGUAACAGGUAAUGGUGAUGUUUUGGAACCAUCAGGAAAUGUUUUAGGUACAGGAUCAGGAGGUCCAUAUGCUAUAGCUGCUGCAAGAGCGUUAUAUGAUAUAGAAAAUUUAACAGCAAAAGAUAUUGCUUAUAAAGCUAUGAACAUUGCUGCUGAUAUGUGUUGUCAUACAAAUAAUAAUUUUAUAUGUGAAACUCUGUAACGUUUUUUUUUGCUACUUUUUUUUUGCUACUUUUUUUUUUCUAUUUUUUUUUUUCUAUUUUUUUUUUUCUAUUUUGUUUAUUAUAUAUAUAUAUAUAUAUAUGCAUGCUUACACAUUGUACGAUUAAAUAUAAAUAAUUUACAUUUUUGUAUCCUAAAAAAAAAGUAUAUAUAUAUAUAUAUAUAUUUUUUUUUACUUGUGAAAAAAUAAAUUUCUAAAUAUUUUAAACA
rnacentral:lncRNA from 1 species